UUUUAUUCAGAUGAAAUUGGAUGGCCGAUGAAGACAAACAUCCAAAGGCAUGGGCUCGCGGCAACAACUAUUUGCAAUCUACCAAUAUAUAAUAAUCUGAGGCAGUAUAAAAAUACAAAAAAAAAUGACAACACUUUUUGGCAGAUCAUUCCUGCUACGAUGAAUCUGUCCCAAUGAUAAUCUGAGAAGUAAAGUAAGUUUUGGUUGAACAAGGAAUCUGGAGUGGGUUUUACUUGUUGAGCAAUCAAUUAGGCCCCAACAAACUUGUAUAUAAGAGCCCUUCUCUGUUUAUUCUCCUGUCUUAAGAGCGCUAAAUCCCUUGGAGACAUCUUCACCACACUGUUCAGAGAUCUGUCAUGGGCCCCGGAGGACCAGGAGGACCCGGAGGACCAGGGUUCUUGCCACCGGGAGGACCAGGCUUCUUCCCACCCAUUGGUGGUUUCUUUUCUGGGUUCUCCGACAUGAUAUGUUCCUGUCUAUCUUGUCUGUGCUGCUGCUGGCUGCUACGAGAUUGCUUUGGCGGCCCACCGCCACAAGGACCGCCACUUCUGCCACCCUAUUAUUGACCACAUCUGACUCCAUUGGUCACUCGAAUAAUAUUAAAGCUAUCUCUGUAUAGGAUAUUGCAGAUGUUUGUCAAAUUCAAUCUUAAAUAUAAUAAUUCAAAUGUCUCAAUUUCUGCUCUGUGUGGAUAUAUAUUACCCAAAAAACGAUCAAAUU